rnacentral:rRNA from 1 species
UUUUACCGAGUGGCGGACGGGUGAGUAACGCGUGGGUAACCUGCCUCAUACAGGGGGAUAACGGUUAGAAAUGACUGCUAAUACCGCAUAAGCGCACAGUACCGCAUGGUACGGUGUGAAAAACUCCGGUGGUAUGAGAUGGACCCGCGUCUGAUUAGGUAGUUGGUGGGGUAACGGCCUACCAAGCCGACGAUCAGUAGCCGACCUGAGAGGGUGACCGGCCACAUUGGGACUGAGACACGGCCCAA